rnacentral:lncRNA from 1 species
UCAAAUAAACAUUCUCCUCCCAUUACACACAGAAGCAAUCAUAAUUAAAUUAACCAAACACAAUUAAUUAAUAUUAAUAAUAACAACACAUUAAUCAAUCCAAUUUCUUCACAUAGCUGCUGCCUCAGUUGGUCGGGUUGCUCCUGAAUGAUCCCAACGCCUUGAUGGCGGCGGCCCUCAAUAUAUACUGGUGGUACGCCGCCGCGGCCAGCGCCCCCACGAACGGCCCCACCCAGAAUAUCCACUGCCGUUCACACACACACACACAUGUUACAAAAUCAUUCUACAUUCCUUCAAAAAAAUAGUAAGAAAAAGCUCAAAAUUCUUACAUGAUCAUCCCAAGCUUUGCCGUUGUUGUAGAUCACCGCAGCGCCGAAGCUCCUCGCCGGGUUGAUUCCGGUUCCGGUGAUGGGGAUCGUCGCCAAAUGAACCAUGAACACCGCAAAUCCGAUUGGAAGCGGAGCCAAAAC